UCCAGGGAUUGGAUGUCCAGGGCAGGCUCUGAGGCUGAGCAACGCCAUCAGCCCCCAGGUCCCCUGGCUGGCGACUCUGUUAUGUGUGCUGUUUGUUCCUCAUGAUCUCAAGAUGGCUGCUGCUAAUCCAGCUGUGAUAUCUGUGCUUCAAGAAGAAAAGAGGGCACUCUGGACUUGUACUCAGUGAUGAAGUAGCCUUGGCUCCUGCCGGAGGUGGUCACAGUCCAGCAGGGGAGAGAAGACAUAUGUGCCCUGAACUACAGAUGAUGGAGAAGGUGCUCCAGCAGGGAGGCUGGAACUCAGCUGAUGGACACGGUCAUUUCCUGCGGAGAUGACAUAAAAUCUGUAAAGCGGAGAGAAUCAUCACUGACUUUGAGGUUGUCGUGAGGCUGAGAUGAGCAGACCUAUGCAAAGUCCUCCCAGCAGUACUGGCAUAUGGCAAGCACUCAGUGAGGAUGACGCAUAGGCUGGGAUGCCUUGUUUCUGAUUCUGAAGAAGAGGAGAUAAGCGCUGUUAACAGGACUUGCUCAGCCUUUUCAAAGUGACCUCAAUGGACAAUGACCUCAGCACUGGGAAAGCUGGUCCUAGGAAAUGAAGGCAAAGUUGAAUAGAGAAAUGCCAGGUGAGCGGUCUUGGAAACAUAGCUUUGUCCACAUGAGAGGGCC
rnacentral:lncRNA from 1 species